GAUGAACGCUGGCGGCGUGCCUAACACAUGCAAGUCGAGCGGCAGCGCGGGGUGCUUGCACCCUGUCGGCGAGCGGCGGACGGCUGAGUAACGCGUGGGAACGUGCCCCAAAGUGAGGAAUAACUGCCCGAAAGGGUAGCUAAUACCGCAUAUUAUCUUCGGAUCAAAGGAUUUAUCCGCUUUGGGAGCGGCUCGCGUCGGAUUAGGUAGUUGGUGAGGUAAUGGCUCACCAAGCCGACGAUCCGUAGCUGGUCGGAGAGGAUGACCCGCCAGACUGGAACUGAGACACGGUCCAGACUCCUACGGGAGGCAGCAGUGAGUAAUCUUCCACAAGGGGCGAAAGCCUGAUGGAGCAACGCCGCGUGCAGGACGAAGGCCUUCGGGUUGUAAACUGCUUUUAUAAGUGAGGAAUAUGACGGUAACUUAUGAAUAAGGAUCGGCUAACUACGUG
rnacentral:rRNA from 1 species